AUUGAACGCUGGCGGCAGGCCUAACACAUGCAAGUCGAGCGGAUGAAGGGAGCUUGCUCCUGGAUUCAGCGGCGGACGGGUGAGUAAUGCCUAGGAAUCUGCCUGGUAGUGGGGUAUAACGUCCUGAAACGGGCGCUAAUACCGCAUACGUCCUGAUGGAGAAAGUGGGGGAUCUUCGGACCUCACGCUAUCAGAUGAGCCUAGGUCGGAUUAGCUAGUUGGUGGGGUAAAGGCCUACCAAGGCGACGAUCCGUAACUGGUCUGAGAGGAUGAUCAGUCACACUGGAACUGAGACACGGACAAGAGUACUAAGAGAGGGAGCAGUGGGGAAUAGUGGACAGUGGGCGGAAGCCUGACACAGCGAUGCCGAGUGUGUGAAGAAGGCGUUCGGAGUGGAAAGACGGUCAACGGGGGAGGAAGGGCAGUAAGUUAAGACGAUGCUGUUUUGACGUUACCAAGAGAAGAAGCACCGGCUAACUUCGUG
rnacentral:rRNA from 1 species